ensembl:lncRNA
UCCAGGUGGAGGUUUAGCUGUUGGAACCCUUCUUCUUAUUGGAUAAAACAAAAUUCACUGUGGAGAAAUACCUGGGCUACUGAUCUCAGUGUCUGCAAAGUUGGGGCUGGAAAUAAAAGAUGCAAAAAUAUCAAAAUUUCCAUGAUUAAUAUGAGACUUAUUUGGUAUUAUAUUGGACCCUGCAAAACUGCCAAAAUCAGCAUUAAUAAAAAUUAUAAUUCUGAUAAAAAUAAUGAGGACCCCAUAAACCUGCUUGUUCAAUAGUGCAGUGUUCUUGGAGAAACAAAAUAUAAAUAAUGAUUCUGAUCUGGUAGUCCUUCAAGCAAAAUUCCCAUUGACUUAAAUUGGCACCAAUGGGAAAUAUAAGGAUAGCAAAUAAGAUAAGUCAUUGUUAACUGUUGGAGGAAAACUGCUCUAGAGUGAUGUAUGAGGCUGUUCAACCUCAACAACUUUGAGAAAAUUAUGUGAGACAAACAACUAUGACAUUUAGUCUUGUUUCUUAGAGAUUAGAGAAGACUAAAUAAAUGGAAAUCCUAUUCUUGUAUGUAUGCAUCAGGUGGAAACUUUUUCGAACAGUAAUCAACAUACAUAUACAUUUGUAUGUUCACUUUUAUUCAUAAUGCAUGCAUCGUAUACAUAUAUAUUAAACACCAAAAAGUAUUAAAGGUUUAAUACAAAUUGACAUUUCAGAAUAUUCAGUAAAAUUGACAGUUAUAUGCUUCUGUAAAGGGAUUGGGAACGGUGAAUUGGCUUGUGUUUGACUCAAAUUAUUACAACCAUAAUGAUAUAUAAAGGGUGCAGCUUCUUUAGUAGCAUUAGUUUUUUUUUUGUUUUAUGUACAUUUUAAUACCUAUGGAAGUACCACAAAACUGGUUCAGUAUAGAUAACAGAAGUACAGUCUUCCCCAUUCUGCUCUACUAAUAUCCCUUUAGCCAUAAGUAGCCAUCUUUACAGCUAAGAGCUAAUUUAAUCUCUCUGACCAUUCAAAUCUAACUUCAAAAAGAUCUUUAUUGGAAUGAAAAUCUACUCAAGUGUGGCCAAAGUGGGAACAAGGACAUACUCUGUUCGGCGGUAGUUUCGAGACAUCAAGCAUCUGACCAAGAUAUGGUUUCACAAUAUUAAGAAAUUUAAUCAUUUAUAUCUAGUUGUCAAAGAUUAUAAAGACCAAAAGGGACCACAGUGUUCAUCUGUUUACUACCGCUUGUAUAACACAGGCCAUAGGACUUCCCUGAAUUAAUUCCUGUUUGAGUAGACCAUAUCCUUUUUAUAAAAAUAUAUAAUCUUGAUUUUAAAAACUUCAGUGUUUGAGAAUCAACCAUGACUCUUGGUAAAUUAUUCCAAUGGUUAAUUACCCUCCCUGUAACAAAUGUGCACCUUAUUGCUAAUCUAAAUUUGUCUAGCUUCAACUUCCAGCCUUUGGAUCUUGUUCCUCCUGUAUAGACUGUGAUCAAGUCCCCUAUUAACCUUUAUUUUGUUAAACUAAAUAGAUUGAGCUCCUUAAAUCUAUAGGGCAUGUUUUCCAAUUAUUUAAACAUUCUUGUGGCUCUUUGAACUGACUCCAGUUCAUCAACAUCCUUCUUGAAUUGUGGAUACCAGAAAUGGACACUAUUCCAGUAGCUGCUGCCCCAGUCACAAAUACAGAGGUAAUAUAACCUCCCUAUUCCUACUUGAUAAUUCUCUGUUUACACAACCAGGGAUCGCAGUAGUCCUUUUGGUCACCGCUUCACAGCUCUUGUUCAGUUGAUUAUCCACCAUGGUCCCCAAUUUCUUUUCAGAGUCGCUGCUUCCCAGGAUAGAGACCACUAUCCUGUGGGUAUGACCUAUAUUCUUUGUCCUAAAUUUAUGACUUUACAUUUUGCUACGUUUAAAAAUUCCUUGCUUCCAGUUUACCAAAUGAUCCAGGCUGCUCGGUAUCAGUGACCUGUCCUCUUAAUUAUUUACUAUUCACACAAUCUUUGUAUCAUCUACAAACUUUAUUAGUAAUGGCUUUGUUUUCUUCCAGGUCAUUGAUAAAAAUGUUAAAUAGUGAAGGCUAAAAACUGCUUCCUGCAGGACUGCACUGGAAACAUACCCCUUCAGUCAUUACUCCCCAUUUACAAUUACAUUUUGAUCUAGUUUUGAAAUCCAUUUUACGUGUGCCAUGUUGAUUUUUGUAUCAUUCUAGUUUCUUAAUCCAAAUGUCAUAUAGUACCAAGUGAAAUGCCUUGCACAAGCCAAUUACGUCAAUACAGUUAUUUUUAUCAACCAAAUUUGUAAUGUAAAGGCCUGUAUUUACUGAGGUUAUUAUAUUUACCCUCUUUAAAUAUUGGCACAACAUUAG